rnacentral:lncRNA from 1 species
UAAUUUAAUUUUUUGUUGGCCCUCUUUUUAUGCUUCUUCUCUCUUCUAAAAUCUAAAAGUUUCAUCGCCCUCAUUGGUCAGCUCUGGUGGCUUAGACAACAUAGGAGCAGAUCCUUUCGUUCUAUGCUUGUAAUUAGUUUUUGUAAUUUUUCCUUCUUCAUCUUUUCUCUGCAUCAUACUGAUUUAAAGUUUUUUGUUUUUUUUUCAGAGCUGGGUUUAUCAAUCGAUUUACUUUCAGAUGGUGUCGAUCUUGUCUAGUCAGCUGCAGGGUUUAUGUUUUAUCUAUCUUGCACAUCUGUUGCUUGGUCUAUGAUUCAGAGUAGUUGUGCCAUGCCAGUACUUGGUUAAUUCUAGGCCUGUUCUUUACUUGUCUCUACUUCAAUAACGGUGAUAGCGUUGUCUUAGUAUUGGCGUGGUAGUGUGUUGUGAGCAGAAAAAGUCUAACAUCAUGUAGAAGAAAUUGGUUUCCUGACAUUUCUCCAUCUCCAGUUUGGAAGGAGCCAUGCUCUCAGUCUUUUAAUAAGUGAUCCUCCCAAUUUAUUUUCAUCCUCUCUUGUUUCUAGUCCUCAGUUCUUGGCAUCGUUCCCUCUCUUUUGUGCUCUCAAUGCAUGAUUGCCAGCUGAUCAAAGAUUUGUGAUUUCUUUCUAUUAUCUUCAUCAAGUAGUGUUUAUGGCUUUUAUUUGAAGAUCUUUAGCUAUCGUUUUAGUUUUUGGUUUAGUCCUAGUCUCUUUUGUUUGGGAGUACGUUUUCCUUUUUUGGGCUAUGUUUCCAGAGAUUUCACUGUGUUCAUGUACGUGGCUUUUGUAUCUUUGUUUUUCUCCUGUUAUCAAUUAAAUUGAGAUGACCAAAGCAAAACCUAAUUUAAACUUAAGAUAAUAAAGAUCACUUCGAGU